rnacentral:rRNA from 1 species
UACAGAGGGUGCAAGCGUUAAUCGGAUUUACCGGGCGUAAAGCGCGCGUAGGUGGCCAAUUAAGUCAAAUGUGAAAUCCCCGAGCUUAACUUGGGAAUUGCAUUCGAUACUGGUUGGCUAGAGUAUGGGAGAGGAUGGUAGAAUUCCAGGUGUAGCGGUGAAAUGCGUAGAGAUCUGGAGGAAUACCGAUGGCGAAGGCAGCCAUCUGGCCUAAUACUGACACUGAGGUGCGAAAGCAUGGGGAGCAAACAGG